UCCGAUAUGGUCUAGUGGCUAGGAUUUGUCGCUCUCAUUGCAGUGCCGACAAGGCCCGGGUUCAAUUCCCGGUGUCGGAA